ensembl:ncRNA lncRNA:CR45414 long non-coding RNA:CR45414
GUCUUUGGACUGGAUCUCUGGAUCUUUGGAUCGCUGGGAGUAGGGAAAGUAUGACGACGCUUGGAUAUUCCCAACGCGCGUCAUGAAGCUGCGGCGUCUGCGCCUUUUUUGGACGUUCGGCAAUGUGAUGAUGGUAUGGAAUCGCUUUGGUAUCGCAUUGGAUUCGCCGGUUCCGAGAUGAUCGCCCAGUGCUGCGCAUGGCGCUCGAAUGGAGAUGCCCGGUACGGUACGACUACAACCACAACCAGGAGUUAUGACAGUCCGCGGAGCUGCGAUCCUUAAAUGGCUUGGUAAAAACUGCCGUUUAUGGACCGACGACACUGAGACGACGACGCUGGCGUGUUGACAAUGAUGCUGGAUGAUUGGUGUUUUGUGCCCGUUUCGCAGGAAAGCCAAGGGUUCCCGUUUUCCCGAGAAUCAAACGCUGGAGACAACAAGGCUCUCCACCACGCAAUGCAACGCAACGCAACGCAUCGCAUCGCAUCGCAUUGCGUCCGAAGUCUUGGGUUUUCAGCCUCCAGUCGCCGCUGCCUUAUAUGCAGCGUCUAGACAGGCUGGAAAAAAUCACAGCACAGAACAGCAGAGCAGAGUCAUCAACAGAAUCAGAAUCGGAAUCAUUCAGGCAAUGCCAAGUUUGGCGCAGAGGCCUUCCUUCAAUGAUUGCCCCCAUGAAUGAAUGGAGGAUCCAAGAUUGAAGACCCAAGACCCAAGACUCUGGAGUCGCCGUUUCGAGCAAUUAGUAUGCGCAGAUUGCGAUCACUCGGAAGUAAUGCUAAUUUCAGUUGUCUACCCGGUUACCCAAAUGGGUAACAAGGGUACGGAGAUGGAGUUGGAGCUGG